CAUUUAAGUUCAGCUUUAAUUAUGCCUAUUUAGUGCCAAAAUAAUAAAUUAAUCCAAUUUAAACAGAUAUCUUCCUCUGGCUUCCUCCUUUCAAAGUUCAAAGCCACUUUCACCUGUCAAUUUUUUUUUCUUCACUUUCUCUGGUUGCCGCUUUUAUUAUCUCUCUGAAAAAUUUCUUAAGAUUUUAAUUCUGGGGUACCUUAUGUUUAAAUGUUGUGCCUGAUUAGCUCGAUUUUCAUGCUGUCCUCUUCUUCACCGCUCCUACAUAAUCUUUUUAUCCUGGAAUCAUCCAUCUUC